UACGUAGGAGACGAGCGUUGUCCGGAAUUACUGGGCGUAAAGCGCGGGUAGGCGGAUGAGCAAGUCUGCUGUGAAAGCUCCUGGCUUAACCGGGAGUGGUCGGUGGAAACUGCACGUCUGGAGGACGGUAGAGGUAGGUAGAAUUCCCGGUGUAGUGGUGAAAUGCGUAGAGAUCGGGAGGAACACCAAUGGCGAAAGCAGGUACCUGGACUAUUACUGACGCUCAGCUGCGAAAGCUAGGGGAGCAAACAGG
rnacentral:rRNA from 1 species